UUGUCUAUAAUCAAAACUCAAUUCACCACCAUCAUUAGCCUCAUAGCUCUUCCCUCCAUCCUCACUAUCAUCCAAUUCAACAAGUUGGUAGUCAAUGUGUUGCUUUUCAGCAACCACCCUUACUUGUGGUUCAACAGCUUCAAGAGAUUUCAGUCCUUUGCGAAAGAAACUCAACUGCUCCAGAAAACUACCCUUAUUUGUGGUUCAACAGCUUCAAGAGAUUUCAGUCCUUUGCGAAAGAAACUCAACUGCUCCAGAAAAAAGAGAAAUUAGGCAAACAAGUCAUUACCCGAUCCAAGACAAAG
rnacentral:lncRNA from 1 species